UACGGAGGAUCCAAGCGUUAUCCGGAUUUAUUGGGUUUAAAGGGCGCGUAGGCGGCUUGGGAAGUCCGUGGUGAAAGCUCGAGGCUCAACUUCGAGUCGGCCAUGGAUACUCCUCGGCUUGAGCACUGUAGAGGCAGGUGGAAUUCCGGGUGUAGCGGUGGAAUGCGUAGAGAUCCGGAAGAACACCGGUGGCGAAGGCGGCCUGCUGGGCAGUAGCUGACGCUGAGGCGCGACAGCGUGGGGAGCAAACAGG
rnacentral:rRNA from 1 species